rnacentral:rRNA from 1 species
UAUGAACGCUGGCGGCGUGCCUAAUACAUGCAAGUCGAGCGAACAGACGAGGAGCUUGCUCCUCUGACGUUAGCGGCGGACGGGUGAGUAACACGUGGAUAACCUACCUAUAAGACUGGGAUAACUUCGGGAAACCGGAGCUAAUACCGGAUAAUAUAUUGAACCGCAUGGUUCAAUAGUGAAAGACGGUUUUGCUGUCACUUAUAGAUGGAUCCGCGCCGCAUUAGCUAGUUGGUAAGGUAACGGCUUACCAAGGCGACGAUGCGUACCCGACCUGAGAGGGUGAUCGACCACACUGGAACUGAGACACGGUCCAGACUCCUACGGGAGGCAGCAGUAGGGAAUCUUCCGCAAAGGGCGAAAGCCUGACGGAGCAACGCCGCGUGAGUGAUGAAGGUCUUCGGAUCGUAAAACUCUGUUAUUAGGGAAGAACAAAUGUGUAAGUAACUAUGCACGUCUUGACGGUACCUAAUCAGAAAGCCACGGCUAACUACGUG